UUGCCCUAAGCUGAAGGACAAACAAAGGAAAGUCAGCGGGGGGGGCCGCCAGAUAAGGGUGAACUCCUCGGGGGAAGGUUCAAGCUGAAGGGGCGAGAUUUACUAACAAAGCUACAAGCUUCCGUGAAAGCCAAAGGAAUUGAGAAAACAGGGCUCAAAUUACCAAACAGCCCUCCGGGCAGCUGAGACUGUGUCAGAAGCCAAAGGAAUUGAGAUUUUAAAGAAUGUUGAUUCAUGUAUAUGGGCAGAUGGCACCUCCUUCAGGAUUGGUAUAAGACCUGAGAGCUGUAAACAAAAGAAUUUAGUGGAUCAUUCUAUGGUUUAAAAGAUGCUUUCUUCUCUAUUCUGCUACAUGAAGAUAGUCAGAAAUUGUUUGCCUUUGAAUGGGAGGACCCAGACACGUAUCAUAAGACUCAAUUGUUAUGGACAGUGUUACCCCAGGGAUUUGUCUCAUCCCCCCAUAACUUUAAAACAGCAUUAAAAAAGACCUGGAGCAUUGAAAAGGAAGACACUCUGAGAUGGCGUUGUUGCAGUAUGUUGAUGAUUUAUUGGUAAUAAGUCCCGAUGUGCAGAUGGGAAAGAGAGCAACAGAAUCCUUGCUGAAUACCCUGAGAAAGAAAGGGUAUAAGGUGUCACGGGAAAAGGCUCAAAUUUGCCAGCCAACGGUCACCUUUUUGGGUUAUGAGAUUGAGGAGGGGGUUCGGGUAGAGAUCGAAUUCAAGCAAUGCAGGAUAUGCCCACUCCCAAACCCCCCAAAGAGCUGCGAGCUUUCCUGGGACUAAUCAGGUUUUGUAGACUGUGGAUUCCUGAUUAUGGGGGAAAAGCCAAACCCCUAUAUGAGUCCCUCACAAAAGAGGGUCUCACAAAUUGGAAAUGGACUAAGGAAAACCAACAUGCAUUUGAGUUAUUGAAAGCUGCCCUCUUGCAAACCCCAGCGCUGAUGAUUCCAAAUGGGCGCAAGCCCUAUAGACUGUAUGUGCAUGAGAAUAAAGGGGUGGCCUCAGGGGUCUUAACUCAACCAGUAGGCCCAACUUGGAAGCCCGUGGGCUACUACUCCAAGGUCCUAGACCCGGUAGUGAAGGGAUGGCCUGCAUGUUUAAGGGCUGUCGCUGCCACAGCUACCCUUGUGGGGGAGGCUCAAAAGAUUGUUAUGGGAGCUGAUAUGGAAGUACAUACCACAUGGAGUUCCCCAAAUCCUUGGAGGAGAGGGAGGAAAAUUUUUAAACCCCUCCAGACAAUCCAGAUAUGAAAUCUUUCUCCUAUCUAAUCCAGGCCUUACCUUCAAGCACACCACUGCUUUAAAUCCAGCGACCCUCCUGCCAGAACCGGGACCUCCGUGCCAUGACUGCUUAGAGGUAUUGACACAGACAGUAUUAAUUCAACCUGAUUUAACAGAUGACCCACUUGAGGACCCAGAGGAGGAAUUCUUCGUAGAUGGUUCGAGUAGUGUGAUACAUGGCAUGCGGCAUACGGGAUGUGCUGUGGUAACUUUGGCUGAGACGGUGUAGAAAGAAAAGCUCCCGGCAAACUGGUCAGCACAGGCAGCGGAGCUCACUGCCCUGACCCGUGCAUUGGUAUUAGGAAAAGACAAAAGAGUAAAAGAGUGAACAUUUUUACGGAUUCGUGCUAUGCCUUUGCCACUGUACAUGCCCAUGGGUCGUUAUGAAAAGAACGUGGAUUCAUCACGGCCUCUGGAUAAAAGAUUGCAAAUGGGCCACAGAUUGUAAUGCUAUUGAAAGCCCUCCGCUACCGAAAGAGGUGGCCAUGGUGCAUGUUAAAGCCCAUGGCAAGGCUGCAGACGAGCGCCAGAGAAGGGGAAAUGCAAAGGCUGAUGUAGCAGCCAAAGAGGCAGCACAAAUGGGAGGAAGACCGUGGGCCCAUUAUCCCGGACAAGCUUGGCAGAUUGACUUCGCUGAACUUCCAAAGUCUGGUCGUUACCGUUAUCUGCUAGUAUUGGUCGAUCAACUAACUGGAUGGGUGAAAGCGUACCCCACAAGAAUGGCUACCGCAUCCACAGUGACACGAGUACUACUCCACGAGAUAAUACCCUGAUUUCUGUUGCCUGAGUCUAUUGAGUCAGAUCAAGGAAGUCAUUUUGUGGGGAAAAUAGUACAGGAAGUGUCCAAAGCUUUAGAUAUCACAUGGAAACUCCAUGCUCCAUGGAGACCCCAGAGUUCAGGUCAGGUGGAGCGCAUGAAUAGAACGCUGAAAGCGAUGUUAACAAAAAUCUGUACUGAAACUCAUUUGAAAUGGCCGCAGGCACUCCCACUGGCUUUAACUCGUAUUCGUAGCACACCACGUAGAGGGAUUAAAUUGUCACCUUUUGAAUUAAUGUUUGGUAUGCCUCCCAGAGUCUUGCCAGCAGGGUAGAGGGAACAGAUUACUGUAGAUUUAGAAAAAUCUGAAAUUUGAGAACAUGUUAUCGCCUUGCAGUCUGUUUUGUCUUCCCUACACAGGUUUGCUGCACCCUUCCAGAGCCUCCCGCUUGAUGCACCAAUCCACAACUUCAAACCGGGUGACCAAGUUUUGGUACAGAAGUGGAAGAAGGAUCCCCUUGCGGAAAGGUGGGAGGGACCCUACCAGGUGCUGCUGACUACACACACAGCUGUCCGCCUAUCAAACAGCGAUAAGUGGACCCAUUGCUCGAGGAUAAACCCUUUUCAUCAGGAGGACACCAACUCCCAGGGUGUGGUCACUCCGGAAGCUGAUAACACCCGGGAACAAAAAGCCAACAGGUGGAAAAGUGAACCUGCUGGAGAUUUGAAGUUAUGCUUGCAAAGAUGUGGGCCCUAGUCUAUUUGUUGGGACUCUUGUCCCUUUUAGGUAUAUCGAACCCAAAAGUUAUGUCCACCUGUUAUACUUAUUCUCAGAACAAACUUGCAACCCUCAGUAAGGUUCAGUACAACUGCAAAACCGCUUAGCUCUUAAUUACUUACUUGCAAGUGAAGGAGGGGUGUGCAGGAAGUUGAAUUUAUCAAAUUGUUGUGUUGAAAUUGAUGAUAAUGGUGAAUUGAUAAAGGACCUAGCAAAUGAUAUGGAAAAGGUAGCACAUGUCCCAGUCCAGACAUGGAAUGGGUGGAACUUUGACUGGUUCACAUCCUGGCUUCCUCAGCCUGGAUGGUUGAAGGGUGUGUUGAUGGCCUUAUGCUUGUUAGUGUCAACCCUUUGCUUGCUUCCUUGUAUGCCACCGUGCAUCAUGACCCUUCUGAGACGGACUGUUCAGUCAGUUGUUAACCAUGAAAUGCUUGUACACUAUCAAAGAUUGGCUAUUGCUGACACUUAUGAAAAUUUUUAGAGUAAGAAAGCAUCUGAGGGGGGAGUUAUAGUAAAAAUAGGUUAGACUCCAUGAUUUUGAAAUAAUGCUUGAGCAGCAACUAUAUGAUAGAAGUGUCUUAUGACCAUCUUAUGACCCUUGUGCAAGAUCAUAAGGUCUAACGACUUAGCUGUGGUCUGCUGUUCUUACUGCUUGCCUUGCAUUUUAAAAUUAUCCCUGCCCAGUGCCCUAAGGUUACGCUAAGAUAAGAGGUUACUAAAGUUUACUAACUUUGCCGCAGUUCCCCUUUUCCUCUGCGCAUGCGACAAAAGGUUUCGCUGCAGUUCUGCUUUUUGAGUGCGCAUGCACUAACCCUGAUAAGUCACACUAACCAAUAACAAGUUAAGUGCAGCCUACAAGAUAAGACGUAACAACUAGGAAAUGGUAAUGCUGCCAAUAAACAUCUAACACGUUAAAACUCUAUGUUCAACGUAAGCUAUAAAAAUGUAAUUCCGGGCCAGACUUGUCAUCGACUCUGAUUUGAGCUCAGCUCCUGGGUCAAACUGUUUGCAAACAAUAAAUCUGAGAUGGACCCAGCCUGUGUGUGUGUGUGUGACUCUCUCCUGGGGUGGAUUGGACAAGCCUCCAGGGGCACGAAACUAGCCGUUUGGGCAACAAUUUGGUGAGCCAGCCAGGAGCCCUUCUGGACCACUCCGGGGCCACGACGAGACCGGCAAAGGGGAUUCGUGAAGUGGCGCCACCAGACCGCUCUUGGAGUCUGUCACGAUCCCCGGGUACGUGAGUUGGGGCACCCGGAAGGUUAAAGGCUCUCCUUUGAAUGAGUCACCCAGGCUGAGUGGGUCCGAAGAGACGGUGCCAGGGUGUUGACGGAGUAAGUAUUCAUUUGCCUUGUGUCAUUUGGGUAGUUUGUUUUGUUGAGUGGUCUCUCGGGGAAUUUGGAAUUUUGGAACGUUCAGUAUAUAAGUCUGAACAUUAGCCCCAGGGACUUUGUUUUGAGUGAUUUUGUUUUAGUGUUCAGCAAAUAGGUCUGAAUUUUGAUUGACACAAUGGGUUCGGGUAGCUCCCGAGAAGAAAACUCCACAACCCCAUCAGGAUGCAUGCUAAGAAACUUUAGUGAGUUCAAAGGAAAUUACGGGGUAGAAAUGUUAAAAGAUAGAUUAAUUACUCUCUGUCAGUUGGAGUGGCCGGAUGCCGGUUCUUUUGAUGUGAAUCUGGCUAAGGCAGUGUGGGGAAGGAGGUAGGUCUAACUGAAUGAAUGUGUGUCUGUGUAUUUAAAACAAACAAACAAAAAAAUGAUGAGCCGCUGACCAGUUUCUGGGACUAAAAGCUGAGUCUAGCAGCCCCGAUUCUGCCUAACAAGGUAGUGUCCAACGCAAGGGGGCUCAGCUGGAACCUCGUGACCCAGUGGACAGGUGUCUGAGUGAUUUUGUCUUUCCCAAAUCUGUUUUCCCAGUAUCUUCUGUCAAGGGCAGGAGUGAAAGAAUCCCUUUUGUGUUUCCCUCCCUCCUUCCACUGUAUGAGCCGGUGUCACGUCAGUAGCCUUGAGUCUGGGCAGUAAGGACUGCGGGGCAAGGCACUGAGCAGCCCGGACAUCCUAAAUAAGCCUUUCCUGUGUCUUUCUGUGUGCUCAAAAUCAUGGUGACUGGAUCCGAACCUUAUUAAAUACAGGUUUGCUGCACCCUUCCAGAGCCUCCCGCUUGAUGCACCAAUCCACAACUUCAAACCGGGUGACCAAGUUUUGGUACAGAAGUGGAAGAAGGAUCCCCUUGCGGAAAGGUGGGAGGGACCCUACCAGGUGCUGCUGACUACACACACAGCUGUCCGCCUAUCAAACAGCGAUAAGUGGACCCAUUGCUCGAGGAUAAACCCUUUUCAUCAGGAGGACACCAACUCCCAGGGUGUGGUCACUCCGGAAGCUGAUAACACCCGGGAACAAAAAGCCAACAGGUGGAAAAGUGAACCUGCUGGAGAUUUGAAGUUAUGCUUGCAAAGAUGUGGGCCCUAGUCUAUUUGUUGGGACUCUUGUCCCUUUUAGGUAUAUCGAACCCAAAAGUUAUGUCCACCUGUUAUACUUAUUCUCAGAACAAACUUGCAACCCUCAGUAAGGUUCAGUACAACUGCAAAACCGCUUAGCUCUUAAUUACUUACUUGCAAGUGAAGGAGGGGUGUGCAGGAAGUUGAAUUUAUCAAAUUGUUGUGUUGAAAUUGAUGAUAAUGGUGAAUUGAUAAAGGACCUAGCAAAUGAUAUGGAAAAGGUAGCACAUGUCCCAGUCCAGACAUGGAAUGGGUGGAACUUUGACUGGUUCACAUCCUGGCUUCCUCAGCCUGGAUGGUUGAAGGGUGUGUUGAUGGCCUUAUGCUUGUUAGUGUCAACCCUUUGCUUGCUUCCUUGUAUGCCACCGUGCAUCAUGACCCUUCUGAGACGGACUGUUCAGUCAGUUGUUAACCAUGAAAUGCUUGUACACUAUCAAAGAUUGGCUAUUGCUGACACUUAUGAAAAUUUUUAGAGUAAGAAAGCAUCUGAGGGGGGAGUUAUAGUAAAAAUAGGUUAGACUCCAUGAUUUUGAAAUAAUGCUUGAGCAGCAACUAUAUGAUAGAAGUGUCUUAUGACCAUCUUAUGACCCUUGUGCAAGAUCAUAAGGUCUAACGACUUAGCUGUGGUCUGCUGUUCUUACUGCUUGCCUUGCAUUUUAAAAUUAUCCCUGCCCAGUGCCCUAAGGUUACGCUAAGAUAAGAGGUUACUAAAGUUUACUAACUUUGCCGCAGUUCCCCUUUUCCUCUGCGCAUGCGACAAAAGGUUUUGCUGCAGUUCUGCUUUUUGAGUGCGCAUGCACUAACCCUGAUAAGUCACACUAACCAAUAACAAGUUAAGUGCAGCCUACAAGAUAAGACGUAACAACUAGGAAAUGGUAAUGCUGCCAAUAAACAUCUAACACGUUAAAACUCUAUGUUCAACGUAAGCUAUAAAAAUGUAAUUCCGGGCCAGACUUGUCGUCGACUCUGAUUUGAGCUCAGCUCCUGGGUCAAACUGUUUGCAAACAAUAAAUCUGAGAUGGACCCAG